rnacentral:tRNA from 1 species
GGUAAGAUGGCUGAAUGUUUAAGCGGUGGAUUGUAGCUCCAUAAAUAGAGGUUAAAGUCCUUUUCUUAUCA